UUCGCCUUCAUGAAGCUGGAAUUGCUAGUAAUGGCAGGUCAGCAUACUGCCGUGAAUACGUUCCCGGGCCCUUGUACACACCGCCCGUCACACCAUGAGAGUUGGAAAUACCCGAAGCCUGUGAGCUAACUUAAAGAGGCAGCAGUCGAAGGUAGAGCCGAUGAUUGGGGUGAAGUCGUAACAAGGUAAC
rnacentral:rRNA from 1 species